rnacentral:rRNA from 1 species
AUACGGAGGGGGCUAGCGUUGUUCGGGAUUACUGGGCGUAAAGCGUACGCAGGCGGAUAUUUAAGUUAGAGGUGAAAUCCCAGGGCUCAACCCUGGAACUGCCUUUAAAACUGGGUAUCUAGAGUUAUGGAGAGGUAAGUGGAAUUCCUAGUGUAGAGGUGAAAUUCGUAGAUAUUAGGAGGAACACCAGAGGCGAAGGCGGCUUACUGGACAAAUACUGACGCUGAGGUACGAAAGUGUGGGGAGCGAACGGGAUUAGAAACCCUAGUAGUCC